rnacentral:rRNA from 1 species
AAUCAACGCUGGCGGCGUGCCUCAGACAUGCAAGUCGAACGAGAAAGUCCCCUUCGGGGGAUAAGUAAAGUGGCGCACGGGUGAGUAACACGUAGGUAAUCUACCUUCGGGUGGGGAAUAACCCAGGGAAACUUGGGCUAACACCGCAUAAUGCAGCGGCACCACAUGGUGACAGUUGUUAAAGCGGGGGAUUUUCGGACCUCGCGCCUGGAGAGGAGCCUGCGGCAGGUUAGCUAGNGGUAAGGUAACGGCUUACCAAGGCGACGAUCUGUAGCCGGCCUGAGAGGGCGGUCGGCCACACUGACACUGACAUACGGGUCAGACUCCUACGGGAGGCAGCAGUCGGGAAUUUUGGGCAAUGGGCGAAAGCCUGACCCAGCAACGCCGCGUGAAGGAU